rnacentral:lncRNA from 1 species
GCCAAGACAAGCGGAAGCUCCGGUUCAGGGAGAACGUUCCCCAGGAAAUCAGGGCAGCAGAGUUUUCCAGGAACGGAGGCUGUGACGGUGGAGGGUGGCCAGGCAGCAGGAGGCCGGGGAAGCGGGUGUCCUGAAGCAGAGGCCGCGGCGCCACGUGUAUGGCAGCUUGCAGGAUAAAAGCCAAAGUGAUUGCUCCAAAUGGACAUCCAUGCCAGUCAUCUGUGUAAGGAUCGCUGAGUGUCUCACAAAAGCACGUGGGUAUGAAGGUGGGGUUGACAUUGAUGAUUAAACCAAGCAGUACAGAAGCAUCGGUGCUGGUCACUUAUCCCCGUCCUUCCCAUCAUUCGAGAUCCCCUUCCAGCGAAUGGCAUCUUCUGGUGUGUGCAGGACCCGAUGGAGGAGUGAUGAGACCUCAGAGCCAUGUCCAGGCUCUUCCAGUCAGUUGGUGGCCUCCACAAAUGCCAGCCAGCCCGCCCAAUGCAAGCUUCUGCUUGGCCAACGUGUAGCAGUUACGAUGCAGCAAUUGGAAGAGGCUGUGGGGAUCAGUAAUUCCAGUGGGGGAGCGACGGACACCCCUAAGAACCCAUUCCACGAUUUUAGUCCCAAAUUGGAUUUUGCUUGGAGAAAUUCUCUGCCCUGUAGUAGUGGUUUUUAAGAUCACAGAUAUUGGAGUAAGAAAGACAAGGCUCUUCUAUUUGCUGGUCUAUUGACUCACAGGGGAAUACCAGAGAACUUGGCAUCCAGAAAACAGUCAACAAAUGAAGACAGUGCAACUAAGACCUGGGCGCCAUGUUCCUUCCCUAAGGCUCAUUUCACUAGGAUGCUGUGUCAGCACGCGCACACACACACACACACACACUCACACACUCCAGGAAGCCUCUAAAAGAAAUGCAAGUGUUCUCCAGUAGAAGGAGCAUCGCUGAAAUUUACUCAACAGCACGGUCUUCGUGUCUUUCCCUCCCAGGCCCACACUCUCAGCUGCCUCCUCCCCUCUCGCUCCUUUCCUCCUGUGUUCUCCAGCAAGGGUGAGGACCCACUGUCAUUCAGAAAACCUCCUCCUAGUUUUUCUAUGCAGGGAGUCAUUCACACAUCCAGCAAGGAAAACAGGGGCUUGUGCAGACUCUCCUUGGGAGGUAAUGGGAGAGGGAUUCUAAAUGCUUGUCACAUUUUUACCUGACACUGUUACUACCAUGUAACUACUAAUAACUAAUGCCAACUUCUGAAUCAUAUUUCCUAUCAUCUUAUGAGAGAGAACUCUGUGGUGUAUAAACACCAAAUCACAAAUCUCCACUUUACAUUCUUGUUUGUCUACUUGUUUGUCUGUUUUCCACUGCAGUGCAGGAGCCCGUGGAGGAGACC